CAAAUUGUCACCCGUAUACUUUUAUCUAGUUGAUAUAACUUCUCCACAUGCAACUCUUUAGCACACAAAUCAAUAAAGAAUAAUGACAAUUCAGUUAAUGGAUCAUAUGCAUCCUUUGGCAAAAUCCCUUUGAUGAUUAGUGGAAAAAUACGUUGGAAAAGAACAUGAAGAUCAUGACUUUUAAGUCCAAAAGUCCGUGCUUUCUUAAUAUUUACACAACGACUAAUGU
rnacentral:lncRNA from 1 species